UACGUAGGCAGCAAGCGUUGUUCGGAGUUACUGGGCGUAAAGGGUGUGUAGGCGGUUGUUUAAGUUUGGUGUGAAAUCUCCCGCUCAACUGGGGAGGGUGCGCCGAAUACUGAAUGACUAGAGUGCGGGAGAGGAAAGUGGAAUUCCUGGUGUAGCGGUGGAAUGCGCAGAUAUCAGGAGGAACACCAAUAGCGAAGGCAGCUCGCUGGGACGUUACUGACAC
rnacentral:rRNA from 1 species